GAUGAACGCUAGCGACAGGCUUAACACAUGCAAGUCGAGGGGCAGCGGGGUCUUCGGACCGCCGGCGACCGGCGCACGGGUGCGUAACGCGUAUGCAACCUACCUUUCACAGGGGGAUAAUCCGGAGAAUUCUGGUCUAAUACCCCAUAACACAUUUUACGGCAUCGUAGAUUGUUGAAAUUUUCGGAGGUGAAAGAUGGGCAUGCGUGACAUUAGCUAGAUGGUGAGGUAACGGCUCACCAUGGCAACGAUGUCUAGGGGGACUGAGAGGUUAACCCCCCACACUGGUACUGAGACACGGACCAGACUCCUACGGGAGGCAGCAGUGGGGAAUAUUGCACAAUGGGCGCAAGCCUGAUGCAGCCAUGCCGCGUGUGUGAAGAAGGCCUUAGGGUUGUAAAGCACUUUCAGCGGGGAGGAAGGGUAUAGGCUUAAUACGUUUAUACAUUGACGUUACCCGCAGAAGAAGCACCGGCUAACUCCGUGCCAGCAGCCGCGGUAAGAC
rnacentral:rRNA from 1 species